rnacentral:rRNA from 1 species
GACGAACGCUUGCGGCGUGCCUAGGAAAUGCAAGUCGAGCGGGGUGAGAGACUUCGGUUUCUCAUCUAGCGGCGAACGGUCGCGUAACACGUAAGCAACCUGCCCCGAAGACCGGGACAACACCUCGAAAGGGGUGCUAAUACCGGAUGUGGCCAUCUGGGGACAUCCCUGGAUGAUUAAACCGAGCAAUCGGCUUCGGGAGGGGCUUGCGGCCUAUCAGCUAGUUGGUGGGGUAACGGCCUACCAAGGCGACGACGGGUAGCUGGUCUGAGAGGACGGCCAGCCGGACUGGGGACUGAGAUACGGCCCAGACUCCUACGGGGGGCAGCAAUUAGGAAUCUUGCGCAAUGGGCGAAAGCCUGACGCAGCGACGCCGCGUGGGAGGA